AGGGAGCAGGGAGACCCCGAGCUCCGUAUUCCCCGUAUUUUUUAAAGAGAGAUUUUCAAUCACAGGCGCGUAUCAAACGUGUGACGGAUAUGGUAUUAAAAGAGGUGGAGUAAUCCGGAAGGGGAGGGGCUUCGCCUCUCUUCAAUAAUAACGCGUGUGUCGCGUCAAACUUAUUAAAGUCCUUCGAUGAAUAAGGUCUUUUGAAGUUGAUAUACCCCUGUGAUACCCCUGUGAUCUGCCAUUCUAUCACCCACCCAAAGGCACUUUUAAGAGCCACAUUUGUUUUCUCAAUCCGUCCUUUUCAGUGUGCCUUGUCCUUACCUGUGUUGCUGUCUGUGUAUCUCUCUCUCUCUCUCUCUCUCACUUUUGUAUAUUCUCUCUCGCUAUCUGUGCUUACUCCUGUUUUGUCCAUCUCUUUGUCCACUUUUGCUUUUCUAUUUUUGUAUAUAUUACUGUUUGUCUGUCUUGGAGAUAUGACUCGACCAAAGUUACGGCCGUGCCCUGCUUGCCAGACUCUUAAUAAGGCAAGCAUCAAAAUGUGUACUGUCUGUUAUGGGACCCUGUCAACAAAGACGAAAAUCAUAAAAAAGGCAGCGACCCUGGACGGCAAAUGGGGGCAAAGAGUGGUUAGAAAUCGAAACGUUAACCGCAUCAUUGAUUCUGCCCGUAUUGCACCUCAACAAACAUGCCACCACCACAGACAUCUUCACCCAAAAAGGAGUGGCCAAAGAAAAAGAAAACAGUUGGUUGCCGCAAAUGUAACCUUCAGAAGGUCUUCCUCUUUGAGAAGAUAAUUGGAAGAAGAAUGAAUGGGGGAAAAGCAGAGUGUGAAAUAUGCUGGUUGCCUUGCUCUGUGUGUAACAGAACCUGGGAUAACACAUGGGAGCCUGCCUGUAAUUUUGAGUGCCUCACUGCCACACCCGAGUCGCCAGGUCCCUCUGGUUCAGCAUGAGAGCUGCCUGGUCAACAUGUUGUGGAUCCAGUCAACACGUACAAUAUGUAGCCUACAUAUGUUUACUGUGUUUAUUUAUCUAUGUCUUUUAUUUGUAUAAAUGUUUCGGAUAUGGAAGUGUUUUAUUUGUUGCAGUGUCAUUUAGUAUUUAAAAAAUAAAUACUUAUUGUUUGAU